rnacentral:rRNA from 1 species
UACGGAGGGUGCGAACGUUGUUCGGAAUCACUGGGCGUAAAGCGCGUGUAGGCGGCACGGUAAGUCAGAUGUGAAAGCCCUCGGCUCAACCGGGGAAGUGCAUUUGAGACUGCCGAGCUAGAGUACGGGAGAGGGUUGUAGAAUUCCUGGUGUAGAGGUGAAAUUCGUAGAUAUCAGGAGGAAUACCAGUGGCGAAGGCGGCAACCUGGACCGAUACUGACGCUGAGACGCGAAAGCGUGGGGAGCAAACAGG